GGGCCCGGAGUUGUACAGAGAGUUUUGUAAAGCGGCCGCGCCCCCUGCCUAGCAGCGGGGUUAUGCUCUUUUAUUUCAUUUUAUAUCAUUUAAGUUUUUUUUCCGGGUUUCCCAUAAUGAUUUUUUUACCUAUUCUUUUUUUUUUCCCUCUUUUUUCCCCUUUUCUUUCUCUUUUUUUCCUCUUCUUUUUCGCUUUUUCCCCUUCUUUUCCUCUUCUUUUCACUUUCCCCCCCUUUUUUUCCUUUUCUAUUUUCCCCCUUUUUCCCAUUAUUUCCCCCCCUUCUUUUUCCUUUUUCCCCUUUCUUUUUUCCACGUUCUUUCCCUCUUUCCUUUUUUUCCCCUCUAUUUUUCCUCCUUUCUUCCUCUCCCCCCUUUUCCCCAUUUUUCCUUUUUCCCUUUUCUCAUUUUAUUUUCCUUUUAUCCUUUUAUUUCCCUUUAGUUUUUUUUCCUUUUUUCCCCUUUUUUCUUUUAAUCCUCUCCGUUUUUUUCCCUUUUUAUGCUAUUUUUUUCUUUUUCUUUUUUAUUUUUUUAUUUCAUUUUUUUUCAUUUUCCCCUUUGUUUUUUCCUUCUUUUCCUUUUUCUUUGUUUUUCCCCCUUUUCCCUUUAUUUUCCUAUAUUGCUUUUUCAUUUUUCAUUUUUCCUUCUUUAUUUUUCUUCUUUUUCCCUUUUUCUUUUUUGUCCCUUUCCCUUUACUCCUUUUUUUUCUCCAUUUUCUUUUUUUUUCCCUUUUUCCCCUUUUCUUUUCUUUUUUUGCUUUUCCCCCUUUUUUAUUACCUUAUCCCUUUUUCCCCUUUUUUGCUUUCUUUUUCCUUUUGCCUUUUCAUUUUUCUUCCCCUUUCCCCUCUUCUUUCUCUUUCCCCCCUUUUUCUCUUCUGAUUUUCCUUUUGUCCUCUUUUAUUUCCUUUCUUCCCCUUUUUUUCCUCCUUUUGCCCCCCCCCACCCCAUUUUCUCCUUUCGCUUUUUCUCCUUUGCCCAUUUAAUUUAUUACGACAACCCCCCCCACACCCCACCAUGAGGAGCAGCCGCUCUUCCUCCCCCCUCCCACCCCCCUCCACCCCACCAGGGCCGUUCGUUACCGACGAACUCUGUAAUUAAUUAUUAAUUAACGCCGCAGACGUUAAUUGAGGCGGCGCUGUGUGUGAAUAAAGGACGGAUGGCACCGCCGCA
rnacentral:lncRNA from 1 species